AGGAUGAACGCUGGCGGCGUGCCUAAUACAUGCAAGUCGAGCGGUAAGGCCCCUUCGGGGGUACACGAGCGGCGGACGGCUGAGUAACACGUAGGAACGUACCCCAAACUGAGGGAUAACUGCUCGAAAGAGUAGCUAAUACCGCAUGUGCUCUACGGAGUAAAGCUACGGCGGUUUGGGAACGGCCUGCGUCCGAUUAGCUUGUUGGUGAGGUAAUAGCUCACCAAGGCGACGAUCGGUAGCUGGUCUGAGAGGAUGAUCAGCCAGACUGGGACUGAGAACGGCCCAGACUCCUACGGGAGGCAGCAGUAGGGAAUUUUCCACAAUGGGCGAAAGCCUGAUGGAGCAACGCCGCGUGCAGGAUGAAUGCCUUCGGUUGUAAACUGCUUUUAUCUGUGACGAAUAUGACGGUAGCAGAUGAAUAAGGAUCGGCUAACUCCGUGCCAGCAGCCGC
rnacentral:rRNA from 1 species